rnacentral:rRNA from 1 species
AGUAGCAAUACUGACUGAGCGGCGAAAGGGUGAGGAAUACAUUUCUACGUACCCCAAGGUCGAGGAUAGCCAGGGGAAACUCUGGGUAAUACUCGAUGUGGUCGCAAGAUCAAAGGUUUACCGCCUUGGGAGCGGGGAAUGUCCUAUCAGGUAGUUGGUGAGGUAACGGCUCACCAAGCCUAAGACGGGUAGCAGGUGUGAGAGCACGGCCUGCCACAUCGAAACUGAGACACUGUUCGGACUCCUACGGGAGGCUGCAGUAACGAAUCUUCCGCAAUGCGCGAAAGCGUGACGGGGUAAUGCCGCGUGCAGGAUGAAGCCCCUCGGGGUGUAAACUGCUGUCAGGGUCUACCAACACAAUGAGGAGACCCAAAGGAAGGGCCGGCUAACUCUGUGCCAGCAGCCGCGGUAAUACAGAGGGCCCGAGCGUUAAUCAGAAUCACUGGGCUUAAAGGGUGCGUAGGCGGACCCAAAGGCAUGUUGUGAAAUCCCUCGGCUCAACCGGGGAACUGCAAUGUGAACCAUGGGUCUUGAGGCAGGUAGGGGCGGUCGGAACGAUAGGUGGAGCGGUGAAAUGCGUAGAUAUCUAUCGGAACGCCAUACGAGAAGUCAGGCCGCUGGGCCUGUCCUGACGCUGAGGCACGAAAGCGUGGGUAGCAAACGGGAUUAGAUACCCCGGUAGUCCACGCCCUAAACGAUGCGUACUAGAUCGGAGCGGUUUGACGCCGUUUCGGUCGAAGCAAAAGUGUUAAGUACGCCGCCUGGGGGAGUACGGUCGCAAGAUUAAAACUCAAAGGAAUUGACGGGGGCUCACACAAGCGGUGGAGCAUGUGGCUUAAUUCGAAGCAACGCGAAGAACCUUAUCCUGGGCUUGACAUGCA